ensembl:lncRNA
UUCUUAUUUAUGUCUCAUAGAGGUCACAGAUCAUAAUGGUAUAACUUUGAUCUGUAGAAGUCUGUAACACUCUUAAGAACCCUAUGUUCAUAGAGAAUGCUUGUUAAAAGAAAUACUGAGAUAAACCUUGUCUUUAUGUAUUAGUCUACAAUUAUAGAAUUGCUUGGGUGAAAAAAGCUACCUACCAUAUGUGAGCUUUCGCUCAAUUCCUUAUCCACAGCUAUCAGACAUGGUAUGGGUGAGACGUGAGAGUAUGUCAUUAUGUACUUUGGAAAUCAUCUUAACUGAAAUGGUCACUCCACCAAAUUAAGACAUUCUUAACUCUGAGGAUUUCUUUCUUUUCAAUAAAAAGUGAGAGGAGGAAAUAACAUUGAAAUUUUCAUCUCGUGCUGGUUAUAGGGCUGUUUGGAAGUGCUUUGUCUUAAUGGGUAGUGUUGUAAAGGUGCAGAAAAUUCCCCUUUACAGUCCCUCCUGCCAAGUCUCAGAGGACUAAGCUAAAACUAGUCAUUGUAAACACAAGAUGAGGCAAGAACAGGCUAUAAGUAUUAUUUCUGUCACUCAGGAAUAUUUUUAGUCUUGUGAACAGCUCCGUUUGCUUUGAUGGCUGUCGUCCAAAUAGCCUUUAUUGCAAUGGUUAUAUGAAACAUUUGGACUAUGUUAAAUGUCUUUUAUAUCCUAUCCUUUUGUGAAUAGGGACAAAUAUUGUUACAGAUAAUAAGAGCACCUGCUAAUUGAUUUGUAACAUUCCUGUAAUGUUUUUAUUAGGACUGUUUAUUAUAUAUUAAACCCAAUGGCUUAGCCCAGUUCAUAAUUCAGUCUGUAACUUUUUAGAAUUGGACCUUACUGUAUAUCAGCACAGAUUCUUCCACACAUUUGUUUUUUUAAAGUGACUUUUCUAACUCAAAAGUUGGUGUUCUCCCUUCUGAAUUCAACUUCAAAUGUGGUCCUUCCUGUCAGUGUGUUCAUGAGUUGUGUGAAUAAGCAGUGCAUUUGUUUGCAUUCAAAAAAGAAACUAAAUAGCCCCAACCUGGAACUGUUAAAGAAGGUGGGGUGGGAAAAGCAGCACGGUCGGAGUACCCGCAUCUUUUGUGUUACAAUACCUGGUUCAGUUUGGGCCUCAGUACAAGAAAGAGGCUGCUAAGUGAGUGAAUUCAGUGGAGGAAUACUAAGAUGUUUAGGGACUGGGGGAUGUGCCUCAUGAGAAGAAGCUGAAGGGACUGGGCUUGUACCGCCUGGGGGAGAGAAGGCCCGGGGACUUGGUAGCAGCUUCUGGUACCUCUGGGGGAAUGGAGCCAUGCUCUUAACAGCAGUGUGUAGCAGCAGGAUGAAAAGCAAUGAGCAGAAACUGAGAAAAGAACAUUAGACUGGUUAUAAGGUACAGCUUCUUCCCUGAGAGGACAUGGUUGGACUAGCUGAUCUUAGUGUUCUUUUCCAACUGUAAUGAUUCUGUGACAGUCUAGCAGUGAAGUAGGUUGCAUGGCGAUAUUGUCCAGUCUUGUUCCUUGGAAGUUUUUGAGACCAGCCUGGACUGAGCCCUAAGCCUCCUUCUCUGACCUGGUUGUCAACCCUGCUUUGGGAAGGAGGAGAGACUAGAUGAGCUGCUGAGGUGCCUUUCAAGCUUAAUUUUCCUGUAACCCUACCUAAAUUCCUGUAGCUGUUAGGAAUCACAUGGAGGUUGUAUCACAGUCCAUGUAGAUUGGGGGAAAAAAAAAAUCAUUUCUGGUAAAUGUUAGUGUGUCAAACUAAACUUAUCCAAAGGAAUCUACAUGGUUUGAAAAAAAGUGUACAUUACACUGCACAGGCAUUCUGUGAACAUGGGCUGUCAAAAUCUGAAAGCUGAGGCUGUACAUUGCUGAUCUCAGGUCCCUUUUCCAAAUUUGAAAUUUUCCCAAACGUUGCUUUGUUUCAGAAGGCUAAUCUGUGGACUUAGAGAUAGCACGAAACCACAGCUAGGGUGGAUACAAAACGUAGGUAAUUAAUGUGGUUGGGAGAAUGAGAUUUAGCUUUCUAGAUGUGGGAAAUGUUCCCGUGGUGUUUUCCUUCCUGGUCUACCCAUACUUUUAAUCUCUUAUCAAACAGAUAAGCAAGCAGAGACAGUAUCAACACAGAAAUAUUACACAGUUUUUGAGAAAAGUUUCCUGCUGGUAUUUUAGAAACCAAGUAGGGAGAGAGAAAAAUACCAGAGAUUGGGUAGAAGUAUGACUUGAUAGAAAGAUAUAGUGGUCCAACCUCCAUGAUAACAUAGAAUUAUAACCCUAAUGUUUUAUAGAAUGGCUAAAUCAACCUCCAAAACUAUAUCAUUCUCUAUUCAACUUCACAGUAGAUUUUUGAGUAGUUUCUGUGAAAGUGCACUGUUGUCAUUAUAUUUCUAGUGUAUUUCCAUGAGAAAUACUACAGCAGCUGACUGUGUUUUUUUGCUAUGAGAUAUAUAUAUAUAUAUAUAUAUAUGAAGUAUAUAUCUUAAUGAUAUUUUAAUGUAUUUGGAUAAAAAAGAGCACAGAAUUGCAGAAUGUAGUCAUGGUACGUAAAAGUAGCCCCUGUUAUUUCCUGGGCUGAAUUUUAGCUUGACUUCCAUUUUGUUUUAUGUAUUUUUAACAUUCUGAAGUGCUCGUUCUUAGUUUUGGCACAGGUGCUUACAGAUUUAAUUUGUGAAAAAUAGUACUCAAGUCUCUUAUAUUGUUUGACCUUGAUGAGAAGUUUUGUAUCCUUCCAAGAUCAGUCAGUGGUCUGUUACUUCAGACCAUACUAUCACUACAUAAGAGCACAUUUGUUAUUCUGUAGCUCACUGUUAGUUCUUGAGGAAAAAAUACAUUUUUGCACGUGGUAGUUUUCAUGUCGCAUUUCUUUACAGCUAUGACAAACAUGAGUUGCAGUACCAGCGGCAAGAAACCUAGUUCUGUGCAUUUCCUCCAUCCACGUGCCAGCUUUCCUUUAUGUUCCCAAGAGUGAAGUGUUCAAUAGGCUAAAUAUAAUGGAAUUAUGUCAUGGAAUGUAGGGCACAGAGCCCUGCAGACAGCCGCACACGGUCUACCAGUCCACUGCUAGGUGCUGUUUCACUUUUUUACUUUAAAUCUGCUAGUAACUGGCCUCUACUGCUGCAAUUCUGAGUCAGACAGUAUUUUUUGGAAGAUGCGUCAGCUUGAGACAACGUGCACUCAGGCACAGAGAAAUGUGAUUAUUGGUUGCCUGAUUGCUUUUGCCCUCCUUUACUUCCUUGUUACUUAUGUCCACACCCAGGAAUUUUUUGCAAAAAUGGCCAGUUAAGGGAUUUUAUGAUAUUACUGCAUUUCUGAACGUGGCCUGUCUCUUACAAUUUGUAGGCAGGAAGGGAUGGGUUUACUGGCAUAGUUUUUCUAGCUUUCAUUUUCACUCUGAUGUUAACAUUAUGAAAUUUUCCACUUUGCCCCAUCAUUGUUUGCCUAGACUGGGAGGUGGCAAAUGAAACCUUACACUUUUAACCCUAAAACUGCUUUUUAAUACACCUUAAAUGUGCAUAAAGUAAGAAGUGUCUAAACAGUAGAUUUGGGAUCCUGCUUGUGUGAAGUGUCUAGACCUGAGUCUGUGAUUCCAGUUUUAAUAGAAAGUUCUUAUCCUCACUUUAUAAUGUACAUUUCAAAAUAACAAAGAAGCUAGUGAAAAAGAUGCUACAGCUAAUGAAGCUAGUGCUGCAAGGAAGCUCCCAAUGAAAACAGUGCAUCUAUUGAGACUGCAAAGCACGGAGGCAGAAAAGAAUUGGUGAGGAGCUCUGUUGCAUAGAUCUUCAUGUUAAGACUGUCUGAAAAUUGGCUGCUGUGGACCUUUUUUUUUUUUUUGUGGUUGAGGGUGAGAUGUCAUAAAGAAUGUGUUUUAAGAAUGGCUCUUACAUUUUUUCACCUUCUAAAUUAAAUGCAGCAAAUCAAUCAGUUUGAAGUCUUAUAUUUUGAUAAAAAAUAAGCUCUUCUUCCAUGUCUCCACUAGGCAGUUGAAGAAGAGUGUGAGGAAGUAGAAAUUUCUAGCCCAUGUUAUUUUGUAAUUCUCUGUGUGGG